GACGAACGCUGGCGGCGUGCUUAACACAUGCAAGUCGAACGGAAAGGCCCUGCUUUUGUGGGGUGCUCGAGUGGCGAACGGGUGAGUAACACGUGAGUAACCUGCCCGUGACUUUGGGAUAACUUCAGGAAACUGGGGCUAAUACCGGAUAGGAGCUCCUGCUGCAUGGUGGGGGUGGGAAAGUUUCGGCGGUUGGGGAUGGACUCGCGGCUUAUCAGCUUGUGGGUGGGGUAGUGGCUUACCAAGGCUUUGACGGGUAGCCGGCCUGAGAGGGUGACCGGCCACAUUGGGCCUGAGAUACGGCCCAGACUCAUACGGGAGGCAGCAGUGGGGAAUAUUGCACAAUGGGCGGAAGCCGGAUGCAGCAACGCCGCGUGCGGGAUGACGGCCUUCGGGUUGUAAACCGCUUUCGCCUGUGACGAAGCGUGAGUGACGGUAAUGGGUAAAGAAGCACCGGCUAACUACGUG
rnacentral:rRNA from 1 species